UUUGAACUCCAUGUGUCUAACAUGUGGGCAUGUCUACAAAGUCAGAAAACAGCACAGCUCCCAUGACUUUCAGAAACAUUUUUUCACACCCAGAGUUGCUGAAGCAUGGAAGAGACUACCUACAUCAGUUGUUAACUACCAUGACACAG